rnacentral:rRNA from 1 species
UUAAGCGACUAAGCGUACACGGUGGAUGCCCUGGCAGUCAGAGGCGAUGAAGGACGUGCUAAUCUGCGAAAAGCGUCGGUAAGGUGAUAUGAACCGUUAUAACCGGCGAUGUCCGAAUGGGGAAACCCAGUGCAAUUCGUUGCACUAUCGUUAACUGAAUACAUAGGUUAACGAGGCGAACCGGGGGAACUGAAACAUCUAAGUACCCCGAGGAAAAGAAAUCAACCGAGAUUCCCCCAGUAGCGGCGAGCGAACGGGGAGCAGCCCAGAGUCUGAAUCAGCUUGUGUGUUAGUGGAACGGUCUGGAAAGUCCGACGGUACAGGGUGAUAGUCCCGUACACCAAAAUGCACAGGUUGUGAACUCGAAGAGUAGGGCGGGACACGUGGUAUCCUGUCUGAAUAUGGGGGGACCAUCCUCCAAGGCUAAAUACUCCUGACUGACCGAUAGUGAACCAGUACCGUGAGGGAAAGGCGAAAAGAACCCCGGCGAGGGGAGUGAAAAAGAACCUGAAACCGUGUACGUACAAGCAGUGGGAGCACCUUCGGGUGUGACUGCGUACCUUUUGUAUAAUGGGUCAGCGACUUAUAUUCUGUAGCAAGGUUAACCGUAUAGGGGAGCCGCAGGGAAACCGAGUCUUAACUGGGCGUUAAGUUGCAGGGUAUAGACCCGAAACCCGGUGAUCUAGCCAUGGGCAGGUUGAAGGUUGGGUAACACUAACUGGAGGACCGAACCGACUAAUGUUGAAAAAUUAGCGGAUGACUUGUGGCUGGGGGUGAAAGGCCAAUCAAACCGGGAGAUAGCUGGUUCUCCCCGAAAGCUAUUUAGGUAGCGCCUCGUGAACUCAUCUUCGGGGGUAGAGCACUGUUUCGGCUAGGGGGUCAUCCCGACUUACCAACCCGAUGCAAACUACGAAUACCGAAGAAUGUUAUCACGGGAGACACACGGCGGGUGCUAACGUCCGUCGUGAAGAGGGAAACAACCCAGACCGCCAGCUAAGGUCCCAAAGUCAUGGUUAAGUGGGAAACGAUGUGGGAAGGCACAGACAGCCAGGAUGUUGGCUUAGAAGCAGCCAUCAUUUAAAGAAAGCGUAAUAGCUCACUGGUCGAGUCGGCCUGCGCGGAAGAUGUAACGGGGCUAAACCAUGCACCGAAGCUGCGGCAGCGACACUAUGUGUUGUUGGGUAGGGGAGCGUUCUGUAAGCCUGCGAAGGUGUGCUGUGAGGCAUGCUGGAGGUAUCAGAAGUGCGAAUGCUGACAUAAGUAACGAUAAAGCGGGUGAAAAGCCCGCUCGCCGGAAGACCAAGGGUUCCUGUCCAACGUUAAUCGGGGCAGGGUGAGUCGACCCCUAAGGCGAGGCCGAAAGGCGUAGUCGAUGGGAAACAGGUUAAUAUUCCUGUACUUGGUGUUACUGCGAAGGGGGGACGGAGAAGGCUAUGUUAGCCGGGCGACGGUUGUCCCGGUUUAAGCAUGUAGGCUGAUUGUCCAGGCAAAUCCGGAUAAUCAAGGCUGAGGUGUGAUGACGAGGCACUACGGUGCUGAAGUAACAAAUGCCCUGCUUCCAGGAAAAGCCUCUAAGCAUCAGGUAACAUCAAAUCGUACCCCAAACCGACACAGGUGGUCAGGUAGAGAAUACCAAGGCGCUUGAGAGAACUCGGGUGAAGGAACUAGGCAAAAUGGUGCCGUAACUUCGGGAGAAGGCACGCUGGUGUGUAGGUGAAGUCCCUGCGGAUGGAGCUGAGACCAGUCGAAGAUACCAGCUGGCUGCAACUGUUUAUUAAAAACACAGCACUGUGCAAACACGAAAGUGGACGUAUACGGUGUGACGCCUGCCCGGUGCCGGAAGGUUAAUUGAUGGGGUUAUCCGUAAGGAGAAGCUCUUGAUCGAAGCCCCGGUAAACGGCGGCCGUAACUAUAACGGUCCUAAGGUAGCGAAAUUCCUUGUCGGGUAAGUUCCGACCUGCACGAAUGGCGUAAUGAUGGCCAGGCUGUCUCCACCCGAGACUCAGUGAAAUUGAACUCGCUGUGAAGAUGCAGUGUACCCGCGGCAAGACGGAAAGACCCCGUGAACCUUUACUAUAGCUUGACACUGAACAUUGAGCCUUGAUGUGUAGGAUAGGUGGGAGGCUUUGAAGCGUGGACGCCAGUCUGCGUGGAGCCAACCUUGAAAUACCACCCUUUAAUGUUUGAUGUUCUAACGUUGGCCCCUGACCGGGGUUGCGGACAGUGUCUGGUGGGUAGUUUGACUGGGGCGGUCUCCUCCCAAAGCGUAACGGAGGAGCACGAAGGUUAGCUAAUCCUGGUCGGACAUCAGGAGGUUAGUGCAAUGGCAUAAGCUAGCUUGACUGCGAGCGUGACGGCGCGAGCAGGUGCGAAAGCAGGUCAUAGUGAUCCGGUGGUUCUGAAUGGAAGGGCCAUCGCUCAACGGAUAAAAGGUACUCCGGGGAUAACAGGCUGAUACCGCCCAAGAGUUCAUAUCGACGGCGGUGUUUGGCACCUCGAUGUCGGCUCAUCACAUCCUGGGGCUGAAGUAGGUCCCAAGGGUAUGGCUGUUCGCCAUUUAAAGUGGUACGCGAGCUGGGUUUAGAACGUCGUGAGACAGUUCGGUCCCUAUCUGCCGUGGGCGCUGGAGAAUUGAGGGGGGCUGCUCCUAGUACGAGAGGACCGGAGUGGACGCAUCACUGGUGUUCGGGUUGUCAUGCCAAUGGCACUGCCCGGUAGCUAAAUGCGGAAGAGAUAAGUGCUGAAAGCAUCUAAGCACGAAACUUGCCCCGAGAUGAGUUCUCCCUGAGACUCUAAGUCUCCUGAAGGAACGUUAAAGACGAUGACGUUGAUAGGCCGGGUGUGUAAGCGCAGCGAUGCGUUGAGCUAACCGGUACUAAUGAACCGUGAGGCUUAACCUU